GCCAGCAGCCAUAUUACCCUACUGCUCUAAACUGGCUAUCCCCUGAAGCUAAGCAGGGUUGAGCCUGGUCAGUAUCUGGAUGAGAGACCUCCUGGGAAGCUAUGGUUGCAGCUGGGA
rnacentral:rRNA from 1 species